GACGAACGCUGGCGGCGUGCUUAACACAUGCAAGUCGAACGGUGAAGCGCCUUCCUUUUUGGUGGGUGUGGAUGAGUGGCGAACGGGUGAGUAACACGUGAGUAACCUGCCCCCUUCUUCUGGAUAACCGCAUGAAAGUGUGGCUAAUACGGGAUAUUCUGGGUCUGUCGCAUGAUGGGUCUGGGAAAGAUAUUGUUUCGGUGGGGGAUGGGCUCGCGGCCUAUCAGCUUGUUGGUGGGGUGGUGGCCUACCAAGGCGGGGACGGGUAGCCGGCCUGAGAGGGAGGACGAGCACACUGGGAAUGAGACACGGCCAAGACUCCUACGGGAGGCAGCAGUGAGGAAUAUUGCACGAUGGGCGCAAGACUGAUGCAGCGACGCCGCGUGAGGGAUGGAGGCCUGCGGGUUGUGAACCUCUUUCGCCAGUGAAGCAGGCCUGCCUCGUUUGUGGGUGGGUUGACGGUAGCUGGAGAAGAAGCGCCGGCUAACUACGUG
rnacentral:rRNA from 1 species